AGGGUUUGAUUAUGGCUCAGGAUGAACGCUAGCUACAGGCUUAACACAUGCAAGUCGAGGGGCAGCAUGAUUGAAGCUUGCUUCAAUUGAUGGCGACCGGCGCACGGGUGAGUAACACGUAUCCAACCUUCCGUACACUCAGGGAUAGCCUUUCGAAAGAAAGAUUAAUACCUGAUGGUAUCUUAAGCACACAUGUAAUUAAGAUUAAAGAUUUAUCGGUGUACGAUGGGGAUGCGUUCCAUUAGGUAGUAGGCGGGGUAACGGCCCACCUAGCCUACGAUGGAUAGGGGUUCUGAGAGGAAGGUCCCCCACAUUGGAACUGAGACACGGUCCAA
rnacentral:rRNA from 1 species